rnacentral:rRNA from 1 species
GUGAAAGCGGAGCUUGCUCCGCUGGAUCAGUGGCGAACGGGUGAGUAACACGUGAGCAACCUGCCCCGGACUCUGGGAUAAGCGCUGGAAACGGCGUCUAAUACCGGAUACGAGCUGCGAAGGCAUCUUCAGCAGCUGGAAAGAACUUCGGUCUGGGAUGGGCUCACGGCCUAUCAGCUAGUUGGUGAGGUAACGGCUCACCAAGGCGUCGACGGGUAGCCGGCCUGAGAGGGUGACCGGCCACACUGGGACUGAGACACGGCCCAGACUCCUACGGGAGGCAGCAGUGGGGAAUAUUGCACAAUGGGCGAAAGCCUGAUGCAGCAACGCCGCGUGAGGGACGACGGCCUUCGGGUUGUAAACCUCUUUUAGCAGGGAAGAAGCGAAAGUGACGGUACCUGCAGAAAAAGCACCGGCUAACUACGUGCCAGCAGCCGCGGUAAUACGUAGGGUGCAAGCGUUAUCCGGAAUUAUUGGGCGUAAAGAGCUCGUAGGCGGUUUGUCGCGUCUGCUGUGAAAACCCGAGGCUCAACCUCGGGCCUGCAGUGGGUACGGGCAGACUAGAGUGCGGUAGGGGAGAUUGGAAUUCCUGGUGUAGCGGUGGAAUGCGCAGAUAUCAGGAGGAACACCGAUGGCGAAGGCAGAUCUCUGGGCCGUAACUGACGCUGAGGAGCGAAAGGGUGGGGAGCAAACAGGCUUAGAUACCCUGGUAGUCCACCCCGUAAACGUUGGGAACUAGUUGUGGGGUCCAUUCCACGGAUUCCGUGACGCAGCUAACGCA